rnacentral:rRNA from 1 species
GAUGAACGCUGGCGGCGUGCCUAAUACAUGCAAGUCGAGCGAAUGGAUUAAGAGCUUGCUCUUAUGAAGUUAGCGGCGGACGGGUGAGUAACACGUGGGUAACCUGCCCAUAAGACUGGGAUAACUCCGGGAAACCGGGGCUAAUACCGGAUAACAUUUCGAACCGCAUGGUUCGAAAUUGAAAGGCGGCUUCGGCUGUCACUUAUGGAUGGACCCGCGUCGCAUUAGCUAGUUGGUGAGGUAACGGCUCACCAAGGCAACGAUGCGUAGCCGAGCGGAGAGGGUGAUCGGCCACACUGGGACUGAGACACGGCCCAGACUCCUACGGGAGGCAGCAGUAGGGAAUCUUCCGCAAUGGACGAAAGUCUGACGGAGCAACGCCGCGUGAGUGAUGAAGGCUUUCGGGUCGUAAAACUCUGUUGUUAGGGAAGAACAAGUGCUAGUUGAAUAAGCUGGCACCUUGACGGUACCUAACCAGAAAGCCACGGCUAACUACGUGCCAGCCGCCGCCGUAA